GCUUGCUCCCUGAUGUUAGCGGCGGACGGGUGAUGUAACACGUGGGUAACCUGCCUGUAAGACUGGGAUAACUCCGGGAAACCGGGGCUAAUACCGGAUGGUUGUUUGAACCGCAUGGUUCAGACAUAAAAGGUGGCUUCGGCUACCACUUACAGAUGGACCCGCGGCGCAUUAGCUAGUUGGUGAGGUAACGGCUCACCAAGGCGACGAUGCGUAGCCGACCUGAGAGGGUGAUCGGCCACACUGGGACUGAGACACGGCCCAGACUCCUACGGGAGGCAGCAGUAGGGAAUCUUCCGCAAUGGACGAAAGUCUGACGGAGCAACGCCGCGUGAGUGAUGAAGGUUUUCGGAUCGUAAAGCUCUGUUGUUAGGGAAGAACAAGUGCCGUUCAAAUAGGGCGGCACCUUGACGGUACCUAACCAGAAAGCCACGGCUAACUACGUGCCAGCAGCCGCGGUAAUACGUAGGUGGCAAGCGUUGUCCGGAAUUAUUGGGCGUAAAGGGCUCGCAGGCGGUUUCUUAAGUCUGAUGUGAAAGCCCCCGGCUCAACCGGGGAGGGUCAUUGGAAACUGGGGAACUUGAGUGCAGAAGAGGAGAGUGGAAUUCCACGUGUAGCGGUGAAAUGCGUAGAGAUGUGGAGGAACACCAGUGGCGAAGGCGACUCUCUGGUCUGUAACUGACGCUGAGGAGCGAAAGCGUGGGGAGCGAACAGGAUUAGAUACCCUGGUAGUCCACGCCGUAAACGAUGAGUGCUAAGUGUUAGGGGGUUUCCGCCCCUUAGUGCUGCAGCUAACGCAUUAAGCACUCCGCCUGGGGAGUACGGUCGCAAGACUGAAACUCAAAGGGAAUUGACGGGGGCCCGCACAAGCGGUGGAGCAUGUGGUUUAAUUCGAAGCAACGCGAAGAACCUUACCAGGUCUUGACAUCCUCUGACAAUCCUAGAGAUAGGACGUCCCCUUCGGGGGCAGAGUGACAGGUGGUGCAUGGUUGUCGUCAGCUCGUGUCGUGAGAUGUUGGGUUAAAGUCCCCGCAACGAGCGCAACCCUUGAUCUUAGUUGCCAGCAUUUCAGUUGGGCACUCUAAAGGUGACUGCCCGGUGACAAACCGGGAGGAAGGUGGGGAUGACGUCAAAUCAUCAUGCCCCUUAUGA
rnacentral:rRNA from 1 species